rnacentral:rRNA from 1 species
UACGGGGGGUGCAAGCGUUGUUCGGAAUUAUUGGGCGUAAAGCGCGUGUAGGCGGUUUGUUAAGUCUGUUGUGAAAGCCCUGGGCUCAACCCAGGAAGUGCACUGGAUACUGGCAGACUUGAAUACGGGAGAGGGUAGUGGAAUUCCUGGUGUAGGAGUGAAAUCCGUAGAUAUCAGGAGGAACACCGGUGGCGAAGGCGGCUACCUGGACCGAUAUUGACGCUGAGA